rnacentral:rRNA from 1 species
UCCGUAGGCGGUGUGGUAAGUCGAUAGUGAAAUCUCCGGGCUUAACCCAGAGGCUGCUAACGAAACUGCCAUGCUAGAGUGUGAGAGAGGCGAGUGGAAUUACGGGUGUAGCGGUGAAAUGCGUAGAUAUCCGUAGGAACAUCCGAGGCGAAGGCGGCUCGCUGGAUCACAACUGACGCUGAGGGGCGAAAGCUAGGGGAGCAAACAGGAUUAGAUACCCUGGUAGUCCUAGCCCUAAACCAUCAGGACUUGGGGUUUGCCCUGUACGGGGCAAGUCCCGUAGCUAACGCGUUAAGUCCUGCGCCUGGGGAGUACGGUCGCAAGGCUGAA